rnacentral:misc_RNA from 1 species
AAGUCGUAACAAGGUCUCCGUAGGUGAACCUGCGGAGGGAUCAUUAACACGUAUCCACGUAAACACCCGUGAAUUUGUAUGUUCCGCACUUGGAUCCAAACAAAGUUAGCAGGCUUCGGCGACGUUUACCAGAAGCGACAGCAAUGUCGUUUUUGGAGGAGCGUGUCUGUUAACCAGCUUCUUCGGAAGAACGGAUUCCGGUGCGCAGACGCCGUGUUUUGUACCAACUUUUUAACACAUUGUAAACCAUUUUGUCUAAUCAUUUCUAAGACCAGGUUAACGCCUGCUCUGAAUAAAUAAAACUAAAGCACAACUCUUAGCAACGGAUAUCUUGGUUCUC